GACGAACGCUGGCGGCGUGCCUAAUACAUGCAAGUCGAGCGGAUGACAGAGGAGCUUGCCCCUCUAGAUUCAGCGGCGGACGGGUGAGUAACACGUGGGCAACCUGCCCUGUAGAUUGGGAUAACUCCGGGAAACCGGGGCUAAUACCGAAUAAUCCUUCGGACCUCAUGGUCCGAUGUUGAAAGGCGGCAUCUCGCUGUCACUACAGGAUGGGCCCGCGGCGCAUUAGCUAGUUGGUGAGGUAACGGCUCACCAAGGCCACGAUGCGUAGCCGACCUGCGAGGGUGAUCGGCCACACUGGGACUGAGACACGGCCCAGACUCCUACGGGAGGCAGCAGUAGGGAAUCUUCCACAAUGGACGAAAGUCUGAUGGAGCAACGCCGCGUGAGUGAAGAAGGUUCUCGGAUCGUAAAACUCUGUUGUGAGGGAAGAACAAGUACCGGAGUAACUGCCGGUACCUUGACGGUACCUCAUUAGAAAGCCACGGCUAACUACGUGCCAGCCGCCGCCGUAAAAC
rnacentral:rRNA from 1 species